CCUAGCGUGGAUGAAGUCCCAUAUCCGCAUGCUCCCUGACUUUGUCGGGGGGGCUGUUGAUUUUGGGGCUUUGGCCGCGGUUAGCUCCUUCGCUCGACUUUUGUGGCGCGGAGGUUGCUCCCACGCCGAGGGGGUUGACAAGGUGGAGUUUGCCACGGCGGAGGACGUUGGCGAGGGCACCCCCGGCCUGCGCAAAUCUGUCCGGAACUUUAUCAGUUCGUUCUGGAUUAGGUUUGGGCGGGCUGAGGCGAAGAAGAUGGCGGAGGCUCGUCGCGCUGAGGAGAUUGCGAAGAAUAAGGCUAAAGUUGACAAGGCCGGUCCUUCGCGUCCACCAAGCGAGGCGCGUCCUCCGACCCAGGCUGAAGCGGAGGCUCGUGAUGCUGGUGCCAAAGCUCCGGAGGGAUCUGGUGCCAAGGUUUCAGAAUUGCCCGAGACUUCUGCUCCUCCUCCGCCUCAGGUGUGAGGCUUUUUAGUUUUUAGGUUUUUCUUAGUCUUUUUUGCGUCCAAGUAUGUGACGCUUUUGUAAAUAGGGCCGGAGGUUUUGCUUAUUUUGUACAGACUGUUGAGGAUGUAAUAUAUUAAGUUGUUUUCAGAUAAGCCUUUGUUUUACACUUUGAUCCUGCGCAGGUCUCUGGCGGAGGACCUGCGCAGGAUCAUUUAAUUACUCCCCUUUCAAUUUUUUACAAAAGGAUUUAUGUUUCUGGCGAAUUGUGGGAGUACUGGCGAGUUGCCUUCCCUAACAUGAGAUUGGUGGAUAUGUUCGAGUUUGUUGGAUAUGAUAUUGAUGGCGAAGGAUCUGGAUUUAUCCAGUCGCUUGCGCGCCGAGGUUCAUGGCCUACGGCUUAGGUGGUGGUUUUUGUUUUGUUUCUACCUUGCCGUAGGCUAUUUGUGUUUUUCUUUUUUUUUAUGACUUAGUUUGAUGUGUUUAUGCAGCCGCCAUAUCCUAUCCUUCGUAUCUUUGGUGAGAAGGAUAGGGUACGCUGGGUGUCGGAGGUUUCCGAGGAUUCUGCUGAGCCUUUUCUCCAUGGAUAUCCGGAGGUUGUGAGGUCUGCUCCGUUGGAAGAUCUUCCUUCGAACUUUGUCGAAGGGAGUUACGUUACCCCGGUGACGUUCAAGCGUGGAGAUCUGUAUGCGAGGGGUUAUCUAGUUGACUGGUGGCGCCAUAAGUAUCCUACGCGUAGUAUUGAUGACUUAGUUGAUUUCCUUGUUCGUGAUUACUGCGAUGAUCUUAGGCUUUUUCCAGAUUCGUAUGUUAGAAUUGUACGAGGGUCUUAGAACCUUCGACGUUUUACGGUCGGAGGAUGUUUUUCAUUUUUUGUUGUAAGCUUCUGUUAUGUACAUUGUAUAUGGUUAAUAAAGAUCAGACAUUUUUACCACAUGGUCUCCGCACCUUUUAACUUUGACAACCUUCGCGCUAUAA